rnacentral:tRNA from 1 species
UAGGUGAGAGCUCGCUUGGAAGAGCGUUUAGCUGUUAACUAAAAGUAUAAAGGAUCGAGGCCUUUUCAUCUAA